rnacentral:sRNA from 2 species
GCUUUUUAUUCGCUGAGUCCUUGAAUGGAAAAGGAACGGGGGAACCAAACGAGAGACGUGUAUUUCUCUCAGGGGUGAAUCACAUCGGCAGGAUAACUGCCUAUGGGUAGGGCGACUCUCACGCCCGAAUCCGUCAGCUAACCUCGUAAGCGUAUCGAGAGAGGCAAC